GGCUCUUUCGUCUGAUCCCACCGAAUGUCUCAUCAUUCGUAAUGAUGGGGCCACAGGUUCGAGUCCUGUAAGCGGCACCA
rnacentral:tRNA from 1 species